GACGAACGCUGGCGGCGUGCCUAAUACAUGCAAGUCGAACGCAGUGGGGACGGGUGAGUAACACGUGGGUAACCUCCCAUCAGAGGGGAUAACACUUGGAAACAGGUGCUAAACCGAUACUGAUGGAUGAACCCGCGGUGCAUUAGCUAGUGGGUGGGGUAACGGCUCACCAAGGCCACGAGGCGUAGCUGUGCUGAGAGGAGGAACAGCCACACUGGGACUGAAACACGGUCCAGAGUCCUACGGGAGGCAGCAGGGGGGAAGUUUGGACAAUGGGCGCAAGCCUGAUUCAGCCAGUCCGCGUGUAUGAAGAAGGCCUUCGGGUUGUAAAGUACUUUUAGCAGAGAAGAGUUACCUGCAGAAGAAGCACCGGCGAACUCCGUGCCAGCAGCCGCGGUAAUUC
rnacentral:rRNA from 1 species